GAUGAACGCUAGCGGCAGGCCUAACACAUGCAAGUCGAGGGAGGAGCUUUCGGGCUUCGACCGGCGUACGGGUGCGUAACGCGUAUACAAUCUGCCUUUCACAUAGGGAUAGCCCGAAGAAAUUUGGAUUAAUACCUAAUGGUACAUAGGAGUGGCAUCACAUUUAUAUUAAAGCUGAGGCGGUGAAAGAUGAGUAUGCGUUCUAUUAGCUAGUUGGAGAGGUAACGGCUCCCCAAGGCGACGAUAGAUAGGGGUUCUGAGAGGGAUAUCCCCCACACUGGUACUGAGAUACGGACCAGACUCCUACGGGAGGCAGCAGUGAGGAAUAUUGGACAAUGGUCGGAAGACUGAUCCAGCCAUGCCGCGUGCAGGAAGACGGCCUUAUGGGUUGUAAACUGCUUUUGCAGGGGAAGAAUAAGGAGUACGUGUACUUUGAUGACGGUACUCUGCGAAUAAGCAUCGGCUAACUCCGUGCCAGCAGCCGCGGUAAUACGGAGGAUGCGAGCGUUAUCCGGAAUCAUUGGGUUUAAAGGGUCCGUAGGCGGGCUAAUAAGUCAGAGGUGAAAGCGCUCAGCUCAACUGAGCAACUGCCUUUGAAACUGUUAGUCUUGAAUGGUUGUGAAGUAGUUGGAAUGUGUAGUGUAGCGGUGAAAUGCUUAGAUAUUACACAGAACACCGAUAGCGAAGGCAUAUUACUAACAAUUAAUUGACGCUGAUGGACGAAAGCGUGGGGAGCGAACAGG
rnacentral:rRNA from 1 species